UCUGAAGUAGCAAGAGCCAUAUUGUUGUCAGAUGCCUUGCUUGAGCGAAUGUGCCUUCUCUGGGGUCUGAAGAGAGGCCAGCGUGUCCCAAAGGCAAGCCCACGGGGGAAUUUCCAGGAGAGAGGAAGGAGACAGGGGAGCAGCAGAUUUAAGACUAAGUGGAUUAUGACACCAUGUGAUGACAUGGUAACUGGAUCACACCAUUCCUCUCCACUGCCCUUGUCUGGGGGAUGGUGGGCGGGCCACUGUUCCCAUGUGAGGGACGGUGAAUGGAUAACUCUAAACGUAGUGACUCAGGCUCACAGCAGUGUAUACAUCGACAUACACAGAAAAUCAGGGACGGCGGUGGUGAAAACGAGUGGGGGAAAUGUGUGUUCUUUGAGCUGGCAUCAUUGA
rnacentral:lncRNA from 1 species